CCUUUUUCGAAAUGGAACGUCGUGGACGAAGUGAACUAAAUUUUUAGCACGCUUUGGCCGCCGAACUUUUAACUAAGCUCGACCUCAGAUCAGGUAGGAAUACCCGCUGAACUUAAGCAUAUCAAUAAGCGGAGGAAAAGAAACCAACAGGGAUUGCCUCAGUAGCGGCGAGUGAAGCGGCAAGAGCUCAGAUUUGAAAUCUCACCUAGUGUGCGAGUUGUAAAUUGCAGGUUGGAGUCUCGGGUUAGACGUGUGUGCAAGUCCCUUGGAACAGGGUGCCACUGAGGGUGAGAGCCCCGUAGCGUGCAUGUCGACACCUGUGAGGCCCUUCUGACGAGUCGAGUUGUUUGGGAAUGCAGCUCUAAGUGGGUGGUAAAUUCCAUCUAAGGCUAAAUAUUGGCGAGAGACCGAUAGCGAACAAGUACUGUGAAGGAAAGAUGAAAAGCACUUUGAAAAGAGAGUGAAACAGCACGUGAAAUUGUUGAAAGGGAAGGGUAUUGGGCUCGACAUGGGAUUUACGCAUCGUUGCCUCUCGUGGGCGGCGCUCUGGGUUUUUCCUGGGCCAGCAUCGGUUUUCGUUGCAGGAUAAGGACAAUUGGAAUGUGGCUCCUCGGAGUGUUAUAGCCUUUUGUAGAUGCUGCGUAUGGGGACCGAGGGCUGCGGCGGACUCGU
rnacentral:rRNA from 1 species